rnacentral:lncRNA from 1 species
CUUUCCAGCUCCCUGAUCUGGGGAGGACCAGGUGUGUGGCCGCCUUGUUCUCUGUCUCAGGCCCAGCGAGUGCCAAGGACUGGCUGGAACGGAACCUACACAGGCCGCCCUGUGCAGAUGCGCGUCCUCCUGGGAGACUCAGGCUCCGACAUCUCCUCUCCCACCCAGAGAAUCGUCCAGACCCGAGGUAUUGUUUCACUCCAUAACCACGAAUCAAAUGUCUACUUGACAGCUGCUAGCACGGAUGCUAACGUGACAAAACGGACAAGAGAAAGCAGUUUCUUACCUAUAAUUUUAAAACGUAGACUUCGCCUGGCAUCAUCACUGAGCUCUUCGACACCCUGGCCCUUUAGGAUGGCGCAUGUCUUCAUGACUUCACAGGAGCUCCAACACCGAAACGGAGCAGCAAGCAAACAUCGGAAGCCAAGCAUCUGGGAGAAGCUCUCAAGACCAGGAGUCACCCUGGAUCCGGUCAAUCACCUAUUUCAGAACUGCUAGGAAAAACCGAGCACUUGGGAGACUAAGUGCAUUCCCCAUGGUCACAUGGCAUGGCAGCAGAGGGGGUGCUGGUGGGAGGACCCUCCCAGGGCCCCUCUGCAGCGGCUCCACUGCGGGCCUGGGACUCCAGGGCUCCACACCCGUCUGUUCACGGUACCCCUGCCUCAAAGGCACUUUGACAUCAAGAGGAAAAGAACCUCAGGCUUCAAGAUUGAAGAGGACAUCACGAAUUAGCAUUUUAAAAAAAUUAUAGGAUUGCACCUUGCUGAAGAAAUUGUGUUUGUCAUUAUAUUCUAAUAGAGAUGAGGCAUAGUGGGGGAAUCUGCUAGACAAACCCUCCCAGGAGAUGAUUCACUGUCCCCGCUUUUUGUCCCCUACUCAGCAUGGUUUCAAGGACACGGUGAUUGAACAGUCCCAGGAGGUGUGACUUUGUGCCCUGGACAGUCCCUUUUUAGAAGUCUCUCCCAAGGAUGCUGUGGCACCACAUGGUGCCCCAUUUGCAUUUCAGAUUACAGUCACAUCGUGGUGGUAAGGAGGGGGUUUGCCUCUGACAGAGGAACACACGUGCAUUUCCAGAACUUAAACAGGGAACACACAGGGUGAGAGUCUGGGUCCGGUCUGGGCUCUCACUGAAGUACCUUUGUGACUGGGGAUAAGUCAUUAAAUUCCUCUUGUUUUAAAAAUGCAACAGGAUUAAGUGUUUCUGAAGUUCUUGCACCCUGGUUUCCAAAGUCCUCUGAGCCCUGAGGGGAGGUCAGCUCAGAAGAGACUGCUGGUAUCAACACAACUCAGAUGUUAGAUGUACUCUGAGUGUUA